rfam:Myotis brandtii contig317160, whole genome shotgun sequence.
GGUGGUUCUCGGGUGAUACACCUCAGAAUCGGGCUCCCUCCUCCCUGGUUCCGGGUGCAUCACCUGAGAACUACA